rnacentral:rRNA from 1 species
CACGAGCGCACCCUUGUUACCAGUUGCUACCAUUUAGUUGAGCACUCUGGUGAGACCGCCUCGGAUAACGGGGAGGAAGGCGGGGAUGACGUCAAGUCCUCAUGGCCUUUAUGUCCAGGGCUACACACGUGCUACAAUGGCCGGUACAAACCGUUGCAACCCUGCGAAGGUGAGCUAAUCGGAGAAAGCCGGCCUCAGUUCGGAUUGGAGUCUGCAACUCGACUCCAUGAAGCUGGAAUCGCUAGUAAUCGCGGAUCAGCAUGCCGCGGUGAAUACGUUCCCGGGCCUUGUACACACCGCCCGU